rnacentral:rRNA from 1 species
CGUUGUACACACCGCCCGUCACACCAUGGGAGGUUGGUUUUUACCUGAAACCGGUGCGCUAACCGCAAGGAGGCAGCCGUCUACGGUAUGGUCAGCGACUGGGGUG